UAUACUCAUUUUUCGCAUCCAAACACAGCGUCGUUUUUUCUUUGUUUACGGUCGUCGGAUCUGAUUGUCACAUACAAACCCUAGUUGAUUAAGAGUUGGAAAUAUGGAUCCAGUUGAUGCAGAGAUUGCGAAGACACAGGAAGAAAGGAAGAUUAUGGAAGCAGCCCUAGCGCCCAAUUCGAUUACUUUUGAUACUGAGCUUUAUGAUGGGAACAACCGCUUUCAGGAUUAUAACAGGGAGAUCCCUGCUAAUGAUGAAGAGGAGAACGUGGAUGCCAUGGAUAAUGAGGUUGCCCGGAAAUUAGCUUCUUAUACUGCCCCAAGGUCUCUCUUGAACGAUAUGCCCAGAGGUGGGGAUGACGAGUCUUUGGGGUUUAAGAAAUCGCAGAGGAUUAUUGACAGGGAGGAUGAUUACAGAAGGAGGAGGCUGAAUCAGGUUAUUUCGCCAGAGAGACAUGAUGCUUUUGCAAAUGGGGAUAAGACUCCAAAACCUGAAACGAGGACAUAUGCUGAUGUUAUGAGGGAAGCAGCUCUGAAAAGAGAGAAGGAGGAGACCUUAAAGGCAAUUGCUAGGAAGAAGAAAGAAGAAGAAGAGAAUAAGGCAGCUGGAAAGGGAAGGGAGACAGUUGCUGCACAACCUGCCCAAAAGAGGAGGAACAGAUGGGAUCAGUCUCAGGAUGAUUCAGGUGCGAAGAAAGCAAAGACAGGUUCUGAUUGGGAUAUGCCAGACUCAACUCCAGGGAUUGGACGAUGGGAUGCUACCCCAACACCAGGGAGAGUUGGUGAUGCAACUCCUUCAUUGUCCAGGAAAAACAGGUGGGAUGAAACUCCUACACCUGGUCGGUUGGCUGAUUCGGAUGCGACUCCAGCUGGUGGUGGAGUCACCCCAGGUGCUACUCCAGCCGGUAUGACAUGGGAUGCUACUCCAAAGUUGUCUGGCAUGGCUACCCCAACACCAAAACGUCAGAGGUCAAGGUGGGACGAGACACCAGCAACCAUGGGAAGUGCCACACCCGGUGGUGCUACACCUGCAGUAGCAUAUACUCCUGGUGUAACUCCUGUUGGUGGGGUUGAACUUGCCACUCCCACCCCGGGAGCUAUAAAUUUGCGUGGUGCCAUCACGCCAGAGCAGUAUAAUUUGCUGAGAUGGGAGAAAGAUAUUGAAGAUAGGAAUCGCCCGCUGACAGACGAAGAACUUGAUACAAUGUUCCCUCAAGAAGGGUAUAAGAUUUUGGAACCACCCCCUUCUUAUGUUCCAAUCAGAACCCCUGCAAGGAAGCUUCUUGCAACCCCAACUCCUUUAGGAACACCUCUAUAUUCGAUUCCUGAAGAAAAUAGGGGUCAGCAGUUUGAUGUUCCAAAAGAGAUGCCUGGUGGGUUGCCAUUCAUGAAGCCCGAAGAUUACCAAUACUUUGGUGCCUUGUUGAAUGAAGAAGAUGAAGAGGAGUUGUCUCCAGACGAGCAAAAAGAGCGAAAAAUCAUGAAAUUGCUUCUCAAGGUUAAGAAUGGGACUCCUCCGCAGAGGAAAACAGCUUUGAGGCAGCUCACUGAUAAGGCUCGUGAAUUUGGUGCUGGGCCAUUGUUCAACCGUAUUCUUCCCUUGCUUAUGCAGCCUACUUUGGAGGACCAGGAGAGACACUUGUUGGUGAAGGUCAUAGACAGAGUGCUUUACAAGUUAGACGAGCUGGUACGGCCUUAUGUGCACAAAAUCUUGGUUGUGAUAGAACCUUUGCUGAUUGAUGAGGACUAUUAUGCUCGUGUAGAGGGGAGAGAAAUUAUAUCCAAUCUCAGCAAGGCAGCUGGGUUAGCUACUAUGAUUGCUGCUAUGCGUCCAGAUAUUGAUAACAUUGAUGAGUAUGUGAGGAACACCACUGCAAGAGCUUUUAGUGUUGUCGCAUCAGCACUUGGCAUCCCUGCACUGCUGCCAUUUUUGAAAGCUGUGUGUCAAAGUAAGAAAUCGUGGCAAGCUCGACACACAGGUAUUAAGAUUGUUCAGCAAAUUGCUAUACUGAUAGGCUGUGCCGUUCUUCCCCAUUUGAGGUCUCUUGUGGAGAUUAUAGAACAUGGACUAAAUGAUGAGAAUCAGAAGGUCAGAACAAUCACUGCCUUGUCAUUGGCUGCACUUGCUGAAGCUGCUGCUCCAUAUGGUAUUGAGAGCUUUGACUCGGUUCUCAAGCCUUUGUGGAAGGGUAUUCGGUCUCACCGUGGCAAGGUCUUGGCUGCUUUCUUGAAGGCAAUCGGGUUUAUCAUUCCUUUGAUGGAUGCCAUCUACGCCAGCUACUAUACCAAGGAAGUGAUGGUUAUACUGAUCCGCGAGUUUCAGUCCCCUGAUGAAGAAAUGAAAAAGAUUGUGUUAAAGGUGGUGAAGCAGUGUGUGAGCACUGAGGGUGUUGAGGCUGAUUACAUUCGAAGCGAUAUCCUUCCAGAGUUCUUCAGGAACUUUUGGGUUAGAAGGAUGGCUUUGGACCGUAGAAACUAUAGGCAGCUGGUAGAUACAACUGUGGAGAUAGCAAAUAAAGUUGGUGUUCCUGAUAUUGUUGGCAGAAUAGUUGAGGACCUGAAAGAUGAGAGUGAACCUUAUAGAAGAAUGGUGAUGGAGACAAUCGAGAAAGUUGUAGCAAAUCUAGGCGCAUCUGAUAUCGAUGCUCGCUUGGAAGAGCUUCUCAUUGAUGGUAUUCUGUAUGCCUUCCAGGAGCAGACUAGUGAUGAUGCCAAUGUGAUGCUUAAUGGGUUUGGUGCGGUUGUUAAUGCUCUUGGACAAAGAGUGAAGCCUUACCUUCCUCAGAUAUGUGGUACUAUAAAGUGGCGUCUAAACAACAAGAGUGCCAAGGUGAGACAGCAGGCUGCAGAUCUGAUUUCAAGAAUUGCUGUGGUGAUGAAACAAUGCCAGGAAGAACAGCUUAUGGGGCAUCUUGGGGUUGUGUUGUAUGAAUAUUUAGGAGAAGAAUAUCCGGAAGUAUUGGGAUCAAUAUUGGGUGCUCUCAAGGCAAUUGUGAAUGUUAUUGGUAUGACUAAGAUGACUCCUCCAAUAAAGGACUUGCUCCCACGUCUAACCCCAAUUUUGAAGAAUCGUCACGAAAAAGUCCAGGAAAAUUGUAUUGAUCUGGUAGGUCGUAUUGCUGACCGUGGUGCAGAGUUUGUCCCUGCAAGGGAGUGGAUGAGGAUCUGUUUUGAGCUUCUCGAGAUGUUAAAGGCCCACAAGAAGGGAAUCCGUCGGGCUACUGUCAAUACCUUUGGGUACAUUGCAAAAGCUAUUGGACCCCAAGAUGUGCUAGCUACGUUAUUGAACAACCUCAAGGUGCAAGAACGCCAGAACCGUGUUUGCACGACUGUGGCUAUUGCCAUCGUCGCAGAAACAUGUUCUCCUUUCACUGUUUUACCUGCUCUGAUGAACGAGUAUCGUGUGCCCGAGCUGAACGUUCAGAACGGUGUGCUGAAAUCCCUAUCCUUUCUUUUCGAGUACAUCGGUGAGAUGGGGAAGGACUACAUCUAUGCAGUGACUCCACUACUCGAGGAUGCUCUUAUGGACCGAGACUUGGUUCAUAGACAGACAGCAGCUUCAGCUGUUAAGCAUAUGGCUCUGGGAGUGGCUGGGUUGGGUUGUGAGGACGCUCUGGUCCACUUGCUGAACUACGUGUGGCCAAACAUUUUCGAGACUUCACCACAUGUGAUAAACGCUGUGAUGGAAGCCAUCGAGGGGAUGAGAGUCGCUUUGGGGGCAGCUGUCGUGCUUAACUAUUGUUUACAGGGUCUGUUUCAUCCUGCAAGGAAGGUUAGGGAAGUUUACUGGAAAAUUUACAACUCGCUCUACAUUGGUGCUCAGGAUGCACUUGUGGCUGCUUAUCCUGUGCUCGAGGAUGAAGGAGAGAACGUAUACAGUAGACCUGAGUUGACAAUGUUUGUCUGAGGUGCUCGUUGCUUAUGGAAGGAAGCAAGGAGAAGAAGAAAGCUCGCUCGCCUCUUCAAUAUCCACUAAUAUCAUAGUACCUUGCUGCACGAUCUAACGGGGUGCAGGGGAAUCAACUAUCUAGUAUCUACACGUCGAUCUGAUCAAGACCACCAAGUAUAUGCCCGUGUUAUGAAAUUUUGCAGCAAGUAAACAACGAAUGCCUUUCUCUUUUCCGAGGAAACAGAUGAAAGUGAAAAAAGAAAGAAGGCGGCGAACAAUCGCUGAUGAUGUAUUGGCAUGUAGUUGAUGGCCUAACAUAAAGCAAAUACGGUGACGCUUGGUAUCAAUCAGAUCGAGGCAUAUGAAAUGGCUUCUUUUUUGUUGAACACUUGAAUAUGAUGUCUAAGACUAAUCCUAAGAGGCCCUGGAGAAGAGUCUGGAAAAUCCCAGUGGCCUUGCAUGACUCGGACCAUUAUAAAUGUACAUCCUGAAGCUCUUAUGAAUUGUUACAACGUUGUUUCAAA